AACGAACGCUGGCGGCAGGCCUAACACAUGCAAGUCGAACGCAUCCUUCGGGGUGAGUGGCGCACGGGUGAGUAACACGUGGGAAUGUACCCUUUGGUUCGGAAUAACGUCUGGAAACGGACGCUAAUACCGGAUGAGCCCUGCGGGGGAAAGAUUUAUCGCCAAAGGAGCAGCCCGCGUCUGAUUAGCUAGUUGGUGGGGUAAAGGCCUACCAAGGCGACGAUCAGUAGCUGGUCUGAGAGGAUGAUCAGCCACACUGGGACUGAGACACGGCCCAGACUCCUACGGGAGGCAGCAGUGGGGAAUAUUGGACAAUGGGCGGAAGCCUGAUCCAGCCAUGCCGCGUGAGUGAUGAAGGCCUUCGGGUUGUAAAGCUCUUUCGCACGCGACGAUGAUGACGGUAGCGUGAGAAGAAGCCCCGGCUAACUUCGUGCCAGCAGCCGCCGUAACAC
rnacentral:rRNA from 1 species